AACCUUACACUCAUGGUUUCUCAGUGUCUUCACGGUUCCAGAAUCUUGUGGCUUUGGUCUUGAUUGGAAUUGAAUCCCUUGCAAUUUUUAAGAAAGAUGAGAGGAGGACCUCCUAACUUGCAGAUUGAAUCCUUUUUCUUCCAGCUCUCAGGACCCGGGCAACUGAAGCUCCAUUCUACUUCUACCAAUUAACAUGGUCUCCUUCCUCAGCCCCCUUUCCCCUCCCCCUUCUUGAAAGAGGAAAAACUAUGACCUCUUGGAAACCAAAAUCCCAACCACAAAUCUCUUCAAGGUUAGCACUAUGCGCUAAAAAAAUGAAUCACAAAAAGAACGUGCCUUCAAAAUAUCAGUCUUAACUGUAAAACACAGAUAAAAACCAUCCUUUUAAUCCAGUUUUCCCAGCUGUCCUUCUGUUGGCAAUGGAGCCUCAAGCUCCAAACGGGGUGGGGUGGGGGAAUAAUUCUCUGGUCUUCAAUGCUUAAAAUGACAAGAGCAGGUAAUAUGUUCGAGAAAGCGAAUCAGAAAAAAAAAAUUGAAUAAAUCCGAAAUGGCACUUGGAAAAAAAUCUUCCAGCUGAUCCGCACGGUAAAAAAAAUAAAUAAAUAAAACCAUACAAUAGUAUGUACACAACAGCACUCCUCCCAGGUUCAGUGCAACCUCGGGAAACAAAAUCUGUGGAUUUUUUAAAAAAAAAAGCUUUUACAUUAAAGAGUUAAAGGUUUUGAAAUUCUGAAAUGAGCCAUUCACACCAAAAAAAAAAAAAAAAAAAAUCACAGAACACCUGAAAUGCAGUGGUUUUUUUACCUUUAAAAUGAGAGCAUUCGCCAAAACCAGAGAGAAGCUCUGAAAAUAUUCCCUGCUUUUUCCUUCAAACUCGCAGGUUUCCCACACCUACCCCAGCCUGGUUCUGAGCCCCAGACCUCGUUCGGCCUUUCUCCGACAGCCAAUUUCCUGAGUUAGUUCUGCCGUUUCUCUCCUCCACAUCCAGGCUCCGAAAGCCUCCCUCGCCUCAGCCUCCAUGAACCGGGGUCCGCUCCCCUCGCUGGGCGCCUGGCCCGCACGGCGGCGCCGCUGCUCUCGGUGGGGACGACGCGCGCGGCUCCGCCAAGCCUGGUGGCGCCGGCUCAGUAGUGGGGAUCGAACUUGGGUCCUUGUGCUUGAGCAGCAGCAGCAGCACCAGAAAAAGAAGAAGAAGAGGAGGAGGAGGAGGAGGAGCAAGAAGAAGAAGAGGAGGAGAAGAAGAAGAGGAAGAAGAAAGAAGAGGAGGAGGAAGCAGAAGAAGCAACUUUUCAAUUGUGGGCAGAAAUCCCAAGACCAAACUGGUUGUUUCUUCUAGAAAGAUGACUCUUUAAGUUAUUAUCAUUCUCCUUCCAGGGUGCUGUUCAGGGACAGGCCUGGCAAAAUAAAACUGCUACUGGAGA
rnacentral:lncRNA from 1 species